rnacentral:sRNA from 1 species
UGUGUAAAAAUUGCGCAACCGGACGAUAUAGCGUAUAGUUCCGCUGUUGACGUAACGCAGUGUGCUUGCGGUCACCAGCCGCAAAAAGCUGCAAAAAAAACCUCGCUCCGGCGGGGUUUUUU